rnacentral:rRNA from 1 species
CGAAUGCUGACAUAAGUAACGAUAAAGCGGGUGAAAAGCCCGCUCGCCGGAAGACCAAGGGUUCCUGUCCAACGUUAAUCGGGGCAGGGUGAGUCGACCCCUAAGGCGAGGCCGAAAGGCGUAGUCGAUGGGAAACAGGUUAAUAUUCCUGUACUUGGUGUUACUGCGAAGGGGGGACGGAGAAGGCUAUGUUGGCCGGGCGACGGUUGUCCCGGUUUAAGCGUGUAGGCUGGUUUUCCAGGCAAAUCCGGAAAAUCAAGGCUGAGGCGUGAUGACGAGGCACUACGGUGCUGAAGCAACAAAUGCCCUGCUUCCAGGAAAAGCCUCUAAGCAUCAGGUAACAUCAAAUCGUACCCCAAACCGACACAGGUGGUCAGGUAGAGAAUACCAAGGCGCUUGAG